CCUGCAGUCGAAGAUGAACCUGGAGCUUGCUCUAGGGAAUUAGUGGCGAACGGGUGAGUAACACGUGAGUAACCUGCCCUUGACUCUGGGAUAACCUCCGGAAACGGAAGCUAAUACCGGAUACGACGUACGGAGGCAUCUCCUGUACGUGGAAAGAACUUCGGUCAAGGAUGGACUCGCGGCCUAUCAGGUAGUUGGUGAGGUAACGGCUCACCAAGCCUACGACGGGUAGCCGGCCUGAGAGGGUGACCGGCCACACUGGGACUGAGACACGGCCCAGACUCCUACGGGAGGCAGCAGUGGGGAAUAUUGCACAAUGGGCGCAAGCCUGAUGCAGCAACGCCGCGUGAGGGAUGACGGCCUUCGGGUUGUAAACCUCUUUUAGUAGGGAAGAAGCGAAAGUGACGGUACCUGCAGAAAAAGCACCGGCUAACUACGUGCCAGCAGCCGCGGUAAUACGUAGGGUGCGAGCGUUGUCCGGAAUUAUUGGGCGUAAAGAGCUCGUAGGCGGUCUGUCGCGUCUGCUGUGAAAACCCGAGGCUCAACCUCGGGCCUGCAGUGGGUACGGGCAGACUAGAGUGCGGUAGGGGAGAAUGGAAUUCCUGGUGUAGCGGUGGAAUGCGCAGAUAUCAGGAGGAACACCGAUGGCGAAGGCAGUUCUCUGGGCCGUAACUGACGCUGAGGAGCGAAAGCGUGGGGAGCGAACAGGAUUAGAUACCCUGGUAGUCCACGCCGUAAACGUUGGGCGCUAGAUGUGGGGACCAUUCCACGGUUUCCGUGUCGCAGCUAACGCAUUAAGCGCC
rnacentral:rRNA from 1 species